GUAGAAAAGGAAAAGUGAAAUGAUGAAUACGCAGCUGCACAUCGGUGACGAGAAGUUUCAUUGUCUGGUAUGUGAGCAACAAAUUAUUUGUUCAGAUGAACAGAUGUCGACUUCAAAUGGUGAAAAGUUUGGUUCACAAAAUGCCAUGCAAUUUGAAAAUUGGUCUUAAUGGAUUUCUCAGUUUCUGGAAGCACAGUGAUUGAGGUCAGUUUUAGCUCUUGUACCAGGACACUUCCUUUAGAGAUGAUUUUUUUGUCUGCCGUCUAGGCACCAAUCCCAAUUACUCUUUAGAAAAGAAUCUUAAACUAUAAUCUCAUCAGCAGGUGUGAACAUCCACAUCUCAUUAAACAUGUGAAUGGAAGAUUGGGUCCAAAGCCCAAACAGCCCACGGUCGACCGUCCUCUUUGGUUGCGCCUCUUUUCUUUCUUGUCCGGCCAAUUCCGGUCGUCUAUCCAACAUUCCAUCCACGCAGGAAACCCAACUUCAUCUUAGCGAGGUAAGUUUCACUAAGCUCCUUCAAACCUCCUUUCAAAUGAACUCUUUUUCAUUGUUGUCUGAAGAUCAAUAUCAAACACGUUCCCUUCUCCAAAAUUUGAGCACAACCGUUCUCAUCCAAACCAAAGCCUAAAGAUUCUGAACUUUUUGGACUUUCAGCAUGUCAAACACUUAUACCAA